GUCGGGAAGAGGAAGAAAGAGCCUAAGAGCAGUGGGAGUGGGAACAUGAUGGAAAGCCUACUAUGUUUGUUUCCUCUAACGAUGGGGGAGAAAACAUUGUUAGUUUCCGAUGCCUCCCAUUCCUAUUGUUCUUAGGUGCUCCUUCCUCUUCCUUCUGUCU
rnacentral:pre_miRNA from 1 species